UGAUGUGAGAGUGAUCUGGCUGCGACAUCUGUCACCCGAUUGAUCUCCAGGGUUGAUUUGGCUGAUCUGGCUGGCUAGGCGUGUGUCCCCUUCCUCCCUCAUCACUCCAUGUGCGUCCCUCUUGAAGCUGCGCGCUCGGUAGAAGAGGACAACGUCCCAGGUAUAGAAGGAGUGUACUGAGGUCUUCAGUGUUCGGUCCUAGGUAUACGAUAGCUUCCCUUCCCUGUUAGAUAAUGAAUUUACAGCAGAUCUAUGAUGUGAAGUAUUUUUGAUAUAUUUCUUUUCAUAUCCCUUUCAACUGGAUAUUACUAG
rfam:Anolis carolinensis chromosome 2, whole genome shotgun sequence.